AUGACGAUGAGUCCGGCGCGCAGUUUGUCUUCGGUAUUGGAAGGCGGGUUAAAUCUCCGAAUACUCCAAAGUACCUAUUGUAACGAACAGUGUCCGGCUUCCCAUCAAUGUUGUACUCCUUGGCCUCUGUGCUUCAAUAAUGGCCAUCUCCACAUGUUGAUCGAAUACGAGGAGGCGAGGUAUUUUUGCAUUUGCCCCCCGGCCCCGCAGGCAAACCGUCUAUAUGAAGGGACGGGGAUCCUCAGAUCCAAACCUCACCUCCUUCCCUUGAGCAAGCAUCCAACAGAGCGCUCCGGAAAAAACCAUUCCGACAUGGUCGGUCGCCGCAGCUCUUCUUACCGUUCUCUUCGCUCCAAGCCAGGUGACUGGGAAGAGUGUUCAGUCCCUCAAAGCCAUUUGAUAGAGUUGCAGACCCAAAGGUUUCUUCCACCGGCGUUCAUGGUCCCCGUCCGAGCUGGACUAGCCACCUAUAAUGGCGGGGAGCAAGCGGAGAGAUCUCCUAAUCCAUCCCCGGGGGAGCGAAUAUGCCUCAUCCCACAUCUGCUAAGAGGCGUCGGGUUUCCAAUCCACCCAUUCCUUCGCGGGCUCCUGGAGUUCUAUGGCCUCCAGUUGCACAACUUCACCCCUGCCUCCGUGCUGCACAUAGCAGGAUACGCUUCCCUUUGUGAACUACUUCUGGGCUGCGAGGCUCACUUCGGGCUAUGGAAGAAGUUGUUCUGCCUCGUCCCUCGCAACCAGGGGGAAUCCAUAUGUCAGAUGGGCAGAGCCGAAGUAUGGCGCGUCGCCGAGACCGGAUACCUGUCCGGUACUCCCAAGAAGGCACCUGAAAACUGGCCCUCAGAGUGGUUUUAUGUUGAUGAUGUUCCCCUUCCGGAUCUAGUCCGGACGGGUCUCCCUGAGUUCAGUAAUGCUCCACCGAAGGCACGCCAAUGUUGGCGCCCUCAGGGCCCCCAAGAGGAGGAUACCAGGGAAGUACAUUUCCUGAUGAGCAGGAUAAAGAUACUGGCCAAAUCAGGGCUGACAAUAGUCGAAGUUAUGGCAAUAUGCAUAAUGCGGGGAGUGCAACCGCUUAAAUAUCGGGGGAAGCCCAUGUGGCAUUACAACGGGGAAGAUGAUGCCACCCGUUGUGGUCGUAAAGGUCCAGACUCCGCCACUGCUCUGGCGAGGAUACUGUUCGAUUUGUACAAAGGGGAAGAAGAAGAAUUCCUUCAUAUUAAACCGCAGGAUGGAUUUUCCAUGUACAACCCCCCAAGCUGGGUAAGUCGUCACUUUUUCCCUCCGCUCCAUUCCUUCUGGCAUCCUUUGUCAUGA
rnacentral:rRNA from 1 species